GUGCCAUUUUGAGGUUGCUACAGUAUUUCAGAAGGCUAACACAGAAGGGUAAGGGAAAGAACUCUCCAUAAAACCCAGAGAAGAGAUGGCAAACCUCCUCUUGGGAUCCUGUCUGGAGUCACAGUU